rnacentral:rRNA from 1 species
AGUGAACGCUGGCGGUAUGCCUAACACAUGCAAGUCGAACGGCAGCACAGUAAGAGCUUGCUCUUACGGGUGGCGAGUGGCGGACGGGUGAGGAAUACAUCGGAAUCUACUUUUUCGUGGGGGAUAACGUAGGGAAACUUACGCUAAUACCGCAUACGACCUACGGGUGAAAGCAGGAGAUCUUCGGACCUUUCGCGAUUGAAUGAGCCGAUGUCGGAUUAGCUAGUUGGCGAGGUAAAGGCCCACCAAGGCGACGAUCCGUAGCUGGUCUGAGAGGAUGAUCGGCCACACUGGAACUGAGACACGGUCCAGACUCCUACGGGAGGCAGCAGUGGGGAAUAUUGGACAAUGGGCGCAAGCCUGAUCCAGCCAUACCGCGUGGGUGAAGAAGGCCUUCGGGUUGUAAAGCCCUUUUGUUGGGAAAGAAAAGCAGCAGGUUAAUACCCCGCUGUUCUGACGGUACCCAAAGAAUAAGCACCGGCUAACUUCGUG